AUACAGAGGUCCCUAGCGUUGUUCGGAUUUACUGGGCGUAAAGGGCGCGUAGGCGGCAGGGCGUGUCAAGUGUGAAAUCUCCGGGCCCAACCCGGAAAGUGCGCUUGAAACUACCCUGCUUCGAGUGCGGGAGGGGGAGUCGGAAUGCAGGGUGUAGCGGUGAAGUGCGUUGAUAUCCUGCAGAACACCGGAGGCGAAGGCGGACUCCUGGAACGCAACUGACGCUGAGGCGCGAAAGUCGGGGGAGCAAACAGGAUUAGAUACCCUGGUAGUCCCGACCCUAAACGGUGCACACUCGGGGUGGGGGGAUUUCACCCCCUCCGUCCCUUAGCGAACGCGUUAAGUGUGCCGCCUGGGGAGUACGGCCGCAAGGCUAAAACUCAAAGGAAUUGGCGGGG
rnacentral:rRNA from 1 species